AUCCAGAGAACUUGGCAGAGAUGCCUUGGUGCCUUCGGGACCUCUGAGACAGGUGCUGCAUGGCUGUCGUCAGCUCGUGUUGUGAAAUGUUGGGUUAAGUCCCGNAACGAGCGCAACCCUAUCCUUUGUUGCCAGCGAUUCGGUCGGGAACUCAAAGGAGACUGCCGGUGAUAAACCGGAGGAAGGUGGGGAUGACGUCAAGUCAUCAUGGCCCUUACGAGUAGGGCUAUACACGUGCUACAAUGGCGCAUACAAAGAGAAGCGACCUCGCGAGAGCAAGCGGACCUCAUAAAGUGCGUCGUAGUCCGGAUCGGAGUCUGCAACUCGACUCCGUGAAGUCGGAAUCGCUAGUAAUCGUAGAUCAGAAUGCUACGGUGAAUACGUUCCCGGGCCUUGUACACACCGCCCGUCACACCAUGGGAGUGGGUUGCAAAAGAAGUAGAUAGCUUAACCUUCGGGAGGGCGUUUACCACUUUGUGAUUCAUGACUGGGGUGAAGUCGUAACAAGGUAGGCGUAGCGAG
rnacentral:rRNA from 1 species